rnacentral:lncRNA from 1 species
CAACCACUAAGCCCUUUGUCAGGUUAUUUCUACUAGUGAUAAGAAGCCAGGUAGAUGAGCCUAUUCCACAAGGUCUCUUGGCUCUACCGUUGUUAAGUGAAAUCUGCCAGGUGUGGAUCAUUUGACCUUUGCUAUAUAGGAAGCCUGAGGAGCUAUGGGGAGUUGCCUCACUAGGGGAGUUUGAGGCUUGGGUUCUCUGGGGUGCUUUUCUCUUGUGGUGAAAUGGACUCAGUGUUCACUAGUAGGUUGCUUUUUCUUUGUGUUUUCUACCUUUUCUGUGAAAUAGUUUUAGAGACUCUAUGAGCUAGUUACAUUGGUGGUGCCUUCUCAGUACAGUAAAAUGCUGGUGGUACUACUUCACUGUGAAGCAGUUUGGAAAUCAUUCAAGUUUAGAAGCCAGCAGGCCUGGGUCUCAGCUGUGGAGGAACUUUCAGAAGAGGACCACCAACUUAAAUACAAUUGAUCUUCGUCCCCACCUGUACAAAUAAGUGUCUCAGCUAUCGGGGUCUGCCGGUAGCUGACAAGGUAUAAAGAUAUGCUUCUCUUUUUCAUUCUUGUGAAGUUAGGGGUAGUGCCCAUUUAAACUGUGACUGAGGCUCUGCAAUGGUGCAAGUGUAUCUUACUACUUCAAAUUCAGUGAUGCAACCUGAGUUUACAUCAAUUAACUUUCUAGGAUUCUACCAAUUUAAAGCUUUUGGAUAAUGACAUUUACUUGAAAACAUUCCUAUAGGUUUAUUUUCUUUACUUACAUUUGUUUGCCAUCUCCAUCUCAUUCAAAGCAGUCAGGACUGGUUUACUUCUCUCUUCUCUGGAGAUUUGCACAAGGAACCAUUGUUAGAAUCAGAAUCCUGAUCUAAGAGUAUGAUGAAAAAUGUUGCACUCCAAGUUAGAAAUUGGAGAGGAAAAUGUUCAUGUAUACAUAAGAAUUGUACUCAAACAGCUGAUUGCACUUUUUCUUACACCUGAACAGAUGCUUACACCUUUUAACUUUUAAACCUCAGAAGCAACCGGUAGUUUGCAUAAACCCAUGCUGACUGGGCCUGAUCGCCUGGUUGCCCUACGAGUACUGCAUGAUGACACUCAAGAUCAUCUGCUCCAUGAGCUUCCCUGGCACUGAGGUCAAACUAACAGGCCUAUAGUUUCCUGGGUCAACCUUCCGGCCCUUCUUGUAGAUGGGC